CCUACGGGGUGCAGCAGUGAGGAAUAUUGGUCAAUGGGCUUACGCCUGAACCAGCCAAGUCGCGUGAGGGAAGACUGCCCUAUGGGUUGUAAACCUCUUUUAUAAGGGAAUAAAGUGCGGGACGUGUCCCGUUUUGUAUGUACCUUAUGAAUAAGGAUCGGCUAACUCCGUGCCAGCAGCCGCGGUAAUACGGAGGAUCCGAGCGUUAUCCGGAUUUAUUGGGUUUAAAGGGUGCGUAGGCGGCCUUUUAAGUCAGCGGUGAAAGUCUGUGGCUCAACCAUAGAAUUGCCGUUGAAACUGGGAGUCUUGAGUAUGUUUGAGGCAGGCGGAAUGCGUGGUGUAGCGGUGAAAUGCUUAGAUAUCACGCAGAACCCCGAUUGCGAAGGCAGCCUGCCAAGCCAUGACUGACGCUGAUGCACGAAAGCGUGGGGAUCAAACAGGAUUAGAUACCCCUGUAGUC
rnacentral:rRNA from 1 species